rnacentral:tRNA from 1 species
GGAAAGUUAGUCUAACUAAGACAGUUGAUUUCGACUCAACAAAUUAUAGCUAAACCCUAUAACUUUCCU